rnacentral:lncRNA from 1 species
UGCAAGAUUAGACUAAAGAAAAAAGCAAUUGUAAAACUUGAUUUGAUUCGAAAAUUUUUAAAAAAAAAAUUAAAUUUCUAGUUCGAAUCGAGUUUAAUUGUCGAAUUCGAAUAACUCGAAUAAAUCAAAUAUCAAACUAUAAUAUUUUACAUUUUUUCUCCAAACCUCCAAACAUCUUUACUUCCCCCCAAAACUUUUACUCCCCUCCCAUCUGACCCCCCAUCUAUCCUAAACCCAUUUU